UACGAAGGGGGCUAGCGUUGCUCGGAAUCACUGGGCGUAAAGGGCGCGUAGGCGGAUCUUUAAGUCGGGGGUGAAGGCCUGAGGCUCAACCUCAGAAUUGCCUUCGAUACUGGAGAUCUUGAGACCGGAAGAGGUAAGUGGAACUGCGAGUGUAGAGGUGAAAUUCGUAGAUAUUCGCAAGAACACCAGUGGCGAAGGCGGCUCACUGGCCCGAUACUGACGCUGAGGCACGAAAGCGUGGGGAACAAACAGG
rnacentral:rRNA from 1 species